GCAUCAGUUAUUUGUUGAACAAAUAACGGUCUAGCUUUCAAUUUAGAUACUAUCGAACCAUCAUCAGACAUGGCCAUAUGCGCAUUCAUUGCAUGCAAAGCAAACAAUGAUUUUUGGCUUAAAGCAUUAGCAACAACGUUAGCCUUUCUCUGUUGAUAGUCAAUCACAAGCUCGUAGUCUUUUAACAAUUCUAACCAUCAGC
rnacentral:lncRNA from 1 species